UACGUAGGGGCCGAGCGUUGUCCGGAGUUAUUGGGCGUAAAGCGCGCGCAGGCGGCUUCGCGCGCCCGACGUGAAAGCCCCCGGCUUAACCGGGGAGAGUCGUUGGGGACGGCGGGGCUUGAGGGCGGGAGAGGUCGGUGGAAUUCCCGGUGUAGUGGUGAAAUGCGUAGAGAUCGGGAGGAACACCUGUGGCGAAAGCGACUUCCUGGACCAAUACUGACGCUCAUGUGCGAAAGCGUGGGGAGCAAACAGG
rnacentral:rRNA from 1 species